UGCCCGCGUGUGUGAUGAAGGUCUUAGGAUUGUAAAGCACUUUCGCCGGGGAUGAUAAUGACAGUACCUGGUAAAGAAACCCCGGCUAACUCCGUGCCAGCAGCCGCGGUAAUACGGAGGGGGUUAGCGUUGUUCGGAAUUACUGGGCGUAAAGCGUACGUAGGCGGAUUGGAAAGUUGGGGGUGAAAUCCCGGGGCUCAACCCGGGAACUGCCUCCAAAACUCUCAGUCUAGAGUUCGAGAGAGGUGAGUGGAAUUCCAAGUGUAGAGGUGAAAUUCGUAGAUAUUUGGAGGAACACCAGUGGCGAAGGCGGCUCACUGGCUCGAUACUGACGCUGAGGUACGAAAGUGUGGGGAGCAAACAGGAUUAGAUACCCUGGUAGUCCUCCCCGUAAACGAUGAAUGCCAGUCGUCGGGCAGUAUACUUUCGGUGACUCA
rnacentral:rRNA from 1 species